AUGGCCCUCCUGCCGAUUCUGGGCUCCCCCUCCUUCCCGUUCCCGGCCUCGCGCCCCGCCCGCCCGUCCAGGCGAAAAUGUGGCCCUGCGGCGCGCAUGAAUUUCAGGUGCUCUGCGGGAGAGAGGGCCAACACUGGGAUAUCCAAGCAUCUGCUCUCGUGCCUUGCUGCUUCCCUCGUCUUCAUCUCCCCACCUAGUCAGGCUGUUCCUGCAGACACCUUUGCCCGGCCCAGCUUGUGCCAGGUUGCGGUGGUGGCCGCCAUCGACAAAGGCGCCGUCCCUCUCAAAUUCGACGCCCCUUCCGAUGAUGGGAUGAUGAUGAUGACCAAGGGCAUGACCGCCAAGAACUUCGAUCCAGUUCGCUACUCCGGUAGGUGGUUCGAGGUGGCAUCGCGCAAAGGCGGGUUCGCUGGUCAGGGACAAGAAGACUGCCAUUGUACUCAGGGAGUGUAUACAUUUGAUGAGAAGGCGGGCGCGAUCAAGGUGGAGACAUUCUGUGUCCAUGGUUCACCUGACGGAUACAUCACCGGUAUCCGGGGGAAGGUGCAAUGCCUGUCUCAAGAGGACAUGGCUGGUGCGGAGACUGAUCUCGAGAGGGAGGAGAUGAUCAGCAGCAAGUGCUUCCUGCGGUUCCCGACACUCCCGUUCAUACCCAAGCUACCCUAUGAUGUCCUAGCGACCGACUACGACAAUUACGCCGUCGUCUCUGGAGCAAAGGACACCAGCUUUAUUCAGAUAUACUCAAGGACGCCAAACCCUGGACCGGAGUUCAUCGAGAAGUACAAGUCAUACGCCGCCGGCUUCGGCUACGACCCAAGCAAGAUCAGGGACACGCCGCAGGACUGCGAGGUGUCCUCGGACCAGCUUGCGGAGAUGAUGUCCAUGCCCGGGAUGGACCAGGCCCUGACGAACCAGUUCCCGGACCUGAAGCUCAAGUCGUCGGUCGCGUUCGACCCGUUCACGAGCGUGACCCAGACCCUGAAGAAGCUCGCCGAAGUGUAUUUCAAGUAA
rnacentral:rRNA from 1 species